ACUGUUUAUUAAAAACACAGCACUCUGCAAACACGAAAGUGGACGUAUAGGGUGUGAUGCCUGCCCGGUGCUGGAAGGUUAAUUGAUGGGGUUAGCGUAAGCGAAGCUCUUGAUCGAAGCCCCAGUAAACGGCGGCCGUAACUAUAACGGUCCUAAGGUAGCGAAAUUCCUUGUCGGGUAAGUUCCGACCUGCACGAAUGGCAUAAUGAUGGCAGCGCUGUCUCCAGCAGAGACUCAGUGAAAUCGAAAUCGCAGUGAAGAUGCUGUGUACCCGCGGCUAGACGGAUAGACCCCGUGAACCUUUACUACAGCUUUACAUUGAACUUUGACCUAACUUGUGUAGGAUAGGUGGGAGGCUUUGAAGUAGGGACGCCAGUUCCUAUGGAGCCAACCUUGAAAUACCACCCUGGUUAUGUUGGGGUUCUAACUUAGAUAUAACAGUAUCAAGGACAAUGUAUGGUGGGUAGUUUGACUGGGGCGGUCUCCUCCUAAAGAGUAACGGAGGAGUACGAAGGUGCGCUCAGAACGGUCGGAAAUCGUUCAAAGAGUAUAAAGGCAAAAGCGCGCUUAACUGCGAGACCCACAAGUCGAGCAGGUACGAAAGUAGGUCUUAGUGAUCCGGUGGUUCUGUAUGGAAGGGCCAUCGCUCAACGGAUAAAAGGUACUCUGGGGAUAACAGGCUGAUACCGCCCAAGAGUUCAUAUCGACGGCGGUGUUUGGCACCUCGAUGUCGGCUCAUCUCAUCCUGGGGCUGAAGCAGGUCCCAAGGGUAUGGCUGUUCGCCAUUUAAAGAGGUACGCGAGCUGGGUUUAGAACGUCGUGAGACAGUUCGGUCCCUAUCUACCGUGGGCGUUGGAAAUUUGAGAGGAUCUGCUCCUAGUACGAGAGGACCAGAGUGGACGAACCUCUG
rnacentral:rRNA from 1 species